GACAAACAGGUCAAGUUAAGUAUUUUGGUACAAAAGAAAGUCGGAAAGUCUUUGUUACUGGAAAAAUUGAUUUUAUUUUAAGGGGUGGAAUCCGUAUAAGUGAAGUCAUAUUAUUAAUUUUUGGUAUAUUUUGAUGCUUUUAAAAUUAGGGCAGAGACCGGGAUUAGAUACCCCGUUAUUCUCUUUGUAAAUUUUGAUUUAUUGUAAAUUUACCUGAGUAUUACGAGCAUAACAUCGGGUUUAGAUGUUUAUAUUUGUUUAAAACUCAAAAAACUUGGCGGUGCCUUAAUUCCUUCCAGGGGAACCUGUCCUGUAAUUGAUAGUCCACGUUUUAGCUUACUUUUUUUGGAAACUCAGUAAGAGUGAGAUUCAGCUUGUAUACCGUCGUCGUCAGAUUACCUUUUAGAGAAUAAGAAGUUGUCAGAUAAAAUGAGGUUAAGGAUAAAUCGGUAUUAAUGUCUUUUUUUGUUAAUUACUGUUUUAUUAACUUAUUUUAGAUGUCAGAUCAAGGUGCAGUUGAUAAAAAAGUAGAGAUGGGUUACAAUACUAAUUUAGUAAUAAUGGAUAUUGAUUUGUAAUUUAUUUAUUGAAGGCGGACUUGGGAGUAAUUUAAUAUAUUAAAUAGCGAGUAUAGUUGAAUAGAGGUACUAAGGUGCGC
rnacentral:rRNA from 1 species